GAUGAACGCUGGCGGCGUGCCUAAUACAUGCAAGUCGAGCGAACGGACGAUAAGCUUGCUUCUCUGAUGUUAGCGGCGGACGGGUGAGUAACACGUGGAUAACCUACCUAUAAGACUGGGAUAACUUCGGGAAACCGGAGCUAAUACCGGAUAAUAUUUUGAACCGCAUGGUUCAAAAGUGAAAGACGGUCUUGCUGUCACUUAUAGAUGGAUCCGUGCUGCAUUAGCUAGUUGGUAAGGUAACGGCUUACCAAGGCAACGAUGCAUAGCCGACCUGAGAGGGUGAUCGGCCACACUGGAACUGAGACACGGUCCAGACUCCUACGGGAGGCAGCAGUAGGGAAUCUUACGCAAUGGGCGAAAGCCUGACGGAGCAACGCCGCGUGAGUGAUGAAGGUCUUCGGAUCGUAAAACUCUGUUAUUAGGGAAGAACAUAUGUGUAAGUAACUGUGCACAUCUUGACGGUACCUAAUCAGAAAGCCACGGCUAACUACGUG
rnacentral:rRNA from 1 species